UAUGUCAAAACACUGAAAAACACAAUUUCACUAGAAUAUUUAGCAGAGAUUGGCGGUGAAAUGGCUAUCUAAAAAGUGUCAAAAUAACCUUAAGUAAAUAGCUUGUGAUGUCUAUUUUAUAUACAUAUGUACUUUUGUGCGACAAUUUUGUUGAGGAAGAUUUCUGCCAGAUCCAUGCAUCGGAUCAAGAGAGCAGCUGCUAAAAUACCAUUACAUAGC